rnacentral:rRNA from 1 species
AUUGAACGCUGGCGGCAUGCCUUACACAUGCAAGUCGAGCGGAUGAGAGGAGCUUGCUUCUCGAUUCAGCGGCGGACGGGUGAGUAAUGCCUAGGAAUCUGCCUGGUAGUGGGGGAUAACGCAUCGAAAGGUGUGCUAAUACCGCAUACGAACUGAGGUUGAAAGUGGGGGACCUUCGGGCCUCACGCUAUUCGAGCGGCCGACGUCUGAUUAGCUAGUUGGUGAGGUAAAGGCUCACCAAGGCGACGAUCAGUAGCGGGUCUGAGAGGAUGAUCCGCCACACUGGGACUGAGACACGGCCCAGACUCCUACGGGAGGCAGCAGUGGGGAAUUUUGGACAAUGGGCGCAAGCCUGAUCCAGCCAUGCCGCGUGUCUGAAGAAGGCCUUCGGGUUGUAAAGGACUUUUGUCCGGGAGCAAAUGCUGGUGGCUAACAUCCACCGGAGCUGAGAGUACCGGAAGAAUAAGCACCGGCUAACUACGUGCCAGCAGCCGCCGUAACAC